GACGAACGCUGGCGGCGUGCUUAACACAUGCAAGUCGAACGGUGAAGCGCCUUCCUUUUUGGUGGGUGUGGAUGAGUGGCGAACGGGUGAGUAACACGUGAGUAACCUGCCCCCUUCUUCUGGAUAACCGCAUGAAAGUGUGGCUAAUACGGGAUAUUCUGGGUCUGUCGCAUGAUGGGUCUGGGAAAGAUAUUGUUUCGGUGGGGGAUGGGCUCGCGGCCUAUCAGCUUGUUGGUGGGGUGAUGGCCUACCAAGGCGGUGACGGGGAGCCGGCCUGAGAGGGUGGACGGUCACACUGGGACUGAGACACGGCCCAGACUCCUACGGGAGGCAGCAGUGGGGAAUAGUGCACAAUGGGCGCAAGCCUGAUGCAGCGACGCCGCGUGAGGGAUGGAGGCCUUCGGGUUGUGAACCUCUUUCGCCAGUGAAGCAGGCCUGCCUCGUUUGUGGGUGGGUUGACGGUAGCUGGAUAAGAAGCGCCGGCUAACUACGUG
rnacentral:rRNA from 1 species